AUUGAACGCUGGCGGCAGGCCUAACACAUGCAAGUCGAGCGGAUGAAGGGAGCUUGCUCCUGGAUUCAGCGGCGGACGGGUGAGUAAUGCCUAGGAAUCUGCCUGGUAGUGGGGGAUAACGUCCGGAAACGGGCGCUAAUACCGCAUACGUCUUGCGGGAGAAAGUGGGGGAUCUUCGGACCUCACGCUAUCAGAUGAGCCUAGGUCGGAUUAGCUAGUUGGUGGGGUAAAGGCCUACCAAGGCGACGAUCCGUAACUGGUCUGAGAGGAUGAUCAGUCACACUGGAACUGAGACACGGUCCAGACUCCUACGGGAGGCAGCAGUGGGGAAUAUUGGACAAUGGGCGAAAGCCUGAUCCAGCCAUGCCGCGUGUGUGAAGAAGGUCUUCGGAUUGUAAAGCACUUUAAGUUGGGAGGAAGGGCAGUAAGUUAAUACCUUGCUGUUUUGACGUUACCAACAGAAUAAGCACCGGCUAACUUCGUG
rnacentral:rRNA from 1 species